rnacentral:rRNA from 1 species
AUUGAACGCUGGCGGCAGGCCUAACACAUGCAAGUCGAACGGUAACAGGAAACAGCUUGCUGUUUCGCUGACGAGUGGCGGACGGGUGAGUAAUGUCUGGGAAACUGCCUGAUGGAGGGGGAUAACUACUGGAAACGGUAGCUAAUACCGCAUAACGUCGCAAGACCAAAGAGGGGGACCUUCGGGCCUCUUGCCAUCGGAUGUGCCCAGAUGGGAUUAGCUAGUAGGUGGGGUAACGGCUCACCUAGGCGACGAUCCCUAGCUGGUCUGAGAGGAUGACCAGCCACACUGGAACUGAGACACGGUCCAGACUCCUACGGGAGGCAGCAGUGGGGAAUAUUGCACAAUGGGCGCAAGCCUGAUGCAGCCAUGCCGCGUGUAUGAAGAAGGCCUUCGGGUAGUAAAGUACUUUCAGCGGGGAGGAAGGGAGUAAAGUUAAUACCUUUGCUCAUUGACGUUACCCGCAGAAGAAGCACCGGCUAACUCCGUG